AUAAAAUACUUUUUCACAGGUAUGGGGUCAUAUUAUGGAAAAAAGACGUUUGACACGUUCGUCCAUAAAAAAUCAGUGCUAUGCAAAAAUUUCAACAUAAUUGGGGAAACCCUUGAGUCAGUGAAGUACGCUCCUUACUCAAAAUUCAAAACGGGCGCACUUAGGUUUGUGCUCAGGAACAACACAUCUUUUCCAACCAAAUAUAUCCCCCACAUAUUGAUGUUUGGUUUAGGGGUGGCAGUUACAAUUGGUGGAUAUUACUUGAAUAAGUAUCUUCGAGAGGAAGAAUAAUAUUAUCUAAUAUUUCGUUUACUAGAUUUUGUCAAUAUGACUUUUAUGGCUGUGGCGAUUAGAACUAAUGAGUAUUUUCA